GGCAGGUAGUCAUAAAGCGACGAACGUCCCUUCCACAUGCACACGUCCGGGGCUCUGGCUAACCAGCACGUGGGAGCACCGUCAACCGCAGAAGGGUCUUCAGCACCAUGUUGGACAAUGAAAGAGAUCCGAGUGUCCAGGAUAAAAGAGUUUGACAGUCACAAAGUUGGAAAUGCAGUCGUGGAGCCCGGAAUGCAAAUGUUCCCAGCUUCUCACUUUGUACCUACAAGCACAUUUCUGUGCCACCGUGCGAGCCUUCCUCCUCCAGAACCUUCUGGGGGAGUCAGAGACCGUCACACCUGCCCCCGGCGAUUGUGA
rnacentral:lncRNA from 1 species